UACGGCUAUCUCAAAGUGAAACAUCGGUUCUCGUCCGAUGACCGAAGUUAAGCAAUGUCGAGUAUGGUCAGUAUCUAGAUGGGUGACCGCUUGUGAAUAUUAGGUGCUGUAA